UACGAAGGGGGCUACCGUUGUUCGGAAUUACUGGGCGUAAAGCGCACGUAGGCGGAUUGUUAAGUCAGGGGUGAAAUCCCGGGGCUCAACCUCGGAACUGCCUUUGAUACUGGCAAUCUCGAGUCCGGAAGAGGUGGGUGGAAUUCCUAGUGUAGAGGUGAAAUUCGUAGAUAUUAGGAAGAGCACCAGUGGCGAAGGCGGCCCACUGGUCCGGUACUGACGCUGAGGUGCGAAAGCGUGGGGAGCAAACAGG
rnacentral:rRNA from 1 species